UGAUAUGCUUGUCUCAAAGACUAAGCCAUGCAAGUCUAAGUACAUGCCGAAUUAAGGUGAAACCGCGAAUGGCUCAUUAAAUCAGUUAUGGUUCCUUAGAUCGUACUUUUCUACUUGGAUAACUGUGGCAAUUCUAGAGCUAAUACAUGCAGCAGAGCUCCGACCUUCGGGGACGAGCGCUUUUAUUAGACCAAGACCAAUCGGACCUCGGUCCGUAUACCACGGCGACUCUGGAUAACUUUGGGCUGAUCGCACGAUCUAGCAUCGGCGAUAUUUCUUUCAAGUGUCUGCCUUAUCAACUGUCGAUGGUAGGUUAUGCGCCUACCAUGGUCGUAACGGGUAACGGGGAAUCAGGGUUCGAUUCCGGAGAGGGAGCCUGAGAAACGGCUACCACAUCCAAGGAAGGCAGCAGGCGCGCAAAUUACCCACUCCCGGCACGGGGAGGUAGUGACGAAAAAUAACAAUACGGGACUCUCUUGAGGCCCCGUAAUUGGAAUGAGUACAAUCUAAAUCCUUUAACGAGGAUCUAUUGGAGGGCAAGUCUGGUGCCAGCAGCCGCGGUAAUUCCAGCUCCAAUAGCGUAUAUUAAAGUUGUUGCGGUUAAAAAGCUCGUAGUUGGAUCUCAGUUACAGACAGGCGGUCCACCUUACGGUGGCUACUGCCUGGCCUGAACGUCCUGCCGGUUUUCUCUCGGUGCUCUUGAUUGAGUGUCUUGAGUGGCCGGCACGUUUACUUUGAAAAAAUUAGAGUGCUCAAAGCAGGCGUGACGCCUGAAUAAUGGUGCAUGGAAUAAUGGAAUAGGACCUCGGUUCUAUUGUGUUGGUUUUCGGAACACGAGGUAAUGAUUAAGAGGGACAGACGGGGGCAUUCGUAUUGCGACGCUAGAGGUGAAAUUCUUGGACCGUCGCAAGAC
rnacentral:rRNA from 1 species